AUACGUAGGGAGCGAGCGUUGUCCGGAUUUACUGGGUGUAAAGGGUGCGUAGGCGGCUCUGCAAGUCAGGUGUGAAAACCAUCGGCUUAACUGAUGGACUGCAUUUGAAACUGUGGAGCUUGAGUGGAGUAGAGGCAGACGGAAUUCCCGGUGUAGCGGUGAAAUGCGUAGAGAUCGGGAGGAACACCAGUGGCGAAGGCGGUUUGCUGGGCUUUAACUGACGCUGAGGCACGAAAGCAUGGGUAGCAAACAGGAUUAGAUACCCUGGUAGUCCAUGCCGUAAACGAUGAUUACUAGGUGUGGGGGGGUCUGACCCCUUCCGUGCCGGAGUUAACACAAUAAGUAAUCCACCUGGGGAGUACGACCGCAAGGUUGAA
rnacentral:rRNA from 1 species